rnacentral:rRNA from 1 species
GAUGAACGCUGGCGGCGUGCCUAAUACAUGCAAGUCGAGCGAACGGACGAGAAGCUUGCUUCUCUGAUGUUAGCGGCGGACGGGUGAGUAACACGUGGAUAACCUACCUAUAAGACUGGGAUAACUUCGGGAAACCGGAGCUAAUACCGGAUGAUAUUUUGAACCGCAUGGUUCAAAAGUGAAAAACGGUCUUGCUGUCGCUUAUAGAUGGAUCCGCGCUGCAUUAGCUAGUUGGUAAGGUAACGGCUUACCAAGGCAACGAUGCAUAGCCGACCUGAGAGGGUGAUCGGCCACACUGGAACUGAGACACGGUCCAGACUCCUACGGGAGGCAGCAGUAGGGAAUCUUCCGCAAUGGGCGAAAGCCUGACGGAGCAACGCCGCGUGAGUGAUGAAGGUCUUCGGAUCGUAAAACUCUGUUAUUAGGGAAGAACAUAUGUGUAAGUAACUGUGCACAUCUUGACGGUACCUAAUCAGAAAGCCACGGCUAACUACGUG